GCAAGUCGAACGAGAACGGGUUAUAGCUUGCUAUAACUGUCAGCUAAGUGGCGCACGGGUGAGUAAUAUAUAGGUAAUGUGCCCUAGAGAAGAGGAUAACAGUUGGAAACGACUGCUAAUACUCUAUAUGCCUUUAAGACAAAAGUCUGCAAGGGAAAUAUUUAUAGCUAUAGGAUCGGCCUGUACGGUAGCAGCGAGUGGGGGAGGGAAUGGAGCACAAAGGCAAUGACGCCUAACUGGUUUGAGAGGAUGAUC
rnacentral:rRNA from 1 species